rnacentral:rRNA from 1 species
UACGAAGGGUGCAAGCGUUAAUCGGAAUUACUGGGCGUAAAGGGUGCGUAGGCGGUUGUUUAAGUCUGUCGUGAAAUCCCCGGGCUCAACCUGGGAAUGGCGAUGGAUACUGGACAGCUAGAGUGUGUCAGAGGAUGGUGGAAUUCCCGGCGUAGCGGUGAAAUGCGUAGAGAUCGGGAGGAACAUCAGUGGCGAAGGCGGCCAUCUGGGACAACACUGACGCUGAAGCACGAAAGCGUGGGGAGCAAACAGG